rnacentral:rRNA from 1 species
UUGACGGGGACCCGCACAAGCGGCGGAGCAUGCGGAUUAAUUCGAUGCAACGCGAAGAACCUUACCAAGGCUUGACAUAUAGAGGAAACGGCUGGAAACAGUCGCCCCGCAAGGUCUCUAUACAGCUGGUGCAUGGUUGUCGUCAGCUCGUGUCGUGAGAUGUUGGGUUAAGUCCCGCAACGAGCGCAACCCUCGUUCUAUGUUGCCAGCACGUAAUGGUGGGAACUCAUGGGAUACUGCCGGGGUCAACUCGGAGGAAGGUGGGGAUGACGUCAAAUCAUCAUGCCCCCUAUGUCUUGGGCUUCACGCAUGCUACAAUGGCCGGUACAAAGGGCUGCAAUACCGUGAGGUGGAGCGAAUCCCAAAAAGCCGGUCCCAGUUCGGAUUGAGGUCUGCAACUCGACCUCAUGAAGUCGGAGUCGCUAGUAAUCGCAGAUCAGCAACGCUGCGGUGAAUACGUUCCCGGGUCUUGUACACACCGCCCGUCAAGUCAUGAAAGUCGGUAACACCUGAAGCCGGU